GUUACAUUAAGUGUAACUAAGAUAAAAUCUCAUCCCUCCAUUAUUCUUGAUCUAAAGGCUUAGCUCCAUUUCCCACUCCAAAUAUAAAGCUCCAAAAAUCUGAAAAUCCUCCCAUUUCACCCCUUAACUAAACCCUAGAUCCUUCCUCACUCACUCUGUUGGCCGCCGCCACUGCUGCCGUGGCUCUAAUCCACCCCAAAACUUCACCCAACCUUCCUCUCUUUGUUCCCAACACUAAUCAAAGCCUUUAAUUCUCCCUCAAGAUCCACAAAUUUUAGAUCUAGGAAACCCUACCCACCACCUUUUAUCCAAAAUAAUUAAAGUUUCGGACACCACCAUACUACAAUACCUGUAUCAACUGAUAGAUCUCCUCAAGACCUUCCUAUUGAUGUCAAUCUCAUCCUAAAACUCCGGAAAUAAAUUUGCUGGCCACCUCUAUUGCUGCCUCGCCGCCGAACUGCCACUCCGCGACCUUUCGUUUCUCUUCGCACUGGCCUUAAGCGAGGUUUCGUUUUCGAUUUUCAUCGAAACUAGCCUCCAAUUCUCCGGAGUUAGGUUUCGAUAAUAAUCGACAAUAGACAAUUGCUCGAGUCGUAUCUCACAAUUAGCUCGUUGCCUCUGAUGCCUCAUUUUGUUGUAUACUUCAAUCUUCCCCUCAUUUUCUAUUUGCAUGUUUGGUUUUGAAUUAGUUUAAUUUUCUCUAUUUUGAUUAGUUAAUAAGUGUUUAAUGUUAGUUUCAUAAAAAAUCAAAAGAUUAGUUGAAUAUUUUAUAUAGUUCAUCGUAUCUUUAGUUGUUAUUUAUCGUGAUAGUUUAGAGAUGUUCGAUUAAUUUCUAUUUUGACCAUUAGCUUGUGAAAUUCAAUUGUUGUUCCAUGUUAGUUUGCACAAAUCGAACUCAUUCUAAUCUAGUUUGUUUAAAUACUUAGUGCAUUUACAUUUUGAGUCUCGUUUCUACUUUGCUAGUUUAUAUUUAGUUGGAGUUUGAGUGUAUAAAUUGAAUUUCACUCAUGAUAAAAUUUAACAAUUUGUUGAGUGCAGGGUACUUGUUUUGCCCUUUUUACUGUUAUAAGGCUGUUUGGAGUAUACUGCUCCUAGCACUGGUCAUAUUUGGCGAAAAACAUUGUCUUUUGGGGCAGAUUUUUGACCAAAAAUUUGUCAUUUAAAUAGUUAGGACAUAUUUUAGGUGAAAAAUCCGUCCU
rnacentral:lncRNA from 1 species